CUUAGUGCCAGGGGUUAGUUAAUUAGAAGGUGUUAGGGGAUAGGUUGGACUCCAUCUUGGAGGUCUUUUCCAACCUGGUUAAUUCUGUGAUCCUGUGAUUCUUCUUUUGAGCUGGCACCUUCUUGAGCUGCCCCCACCUCCCAUGACAGCAGCAGUGGCAGGAGCAGAAGCCUCCCGAAGCACAGCAGCACGCAGAGCCCAGCUGGCUGCACACCACUGGGCCUUUUCCCUGGCUUCCUGAUUUUUAUCUCCUUCCUUUCAAAAAGCCAGAAACUGAUGAGGGCAGGAGAUAGCCCAGCCUGGCACAGCUCUUCCAGCGUGCCUUUGCCACCCUGCACCACCACCUGAGCUGCUGCUGGUGGCCUGAAGUUGCUCCCUGGCAGGCACUCUGCAGGCAGGUGCUGGCCAGUUCUACCCUCAGCCCUGGGGGAAGGUGCUUGGCUCCAUCCACCUGCCCCAGAGCCUUGGUAAGCCCAAUGUGUCCUUCAGCCACGGCAGCAUCUCCAGCAAGGUUAGAGCUGUCUGCAGUUGUCCUGCCUGCCCCCUUCCUGCUUCAUCUCACUGAUGCAGCCCCAAGACCCAGCUUGAGAGUUCUCCAGCUGCUGGGGGCCCUGUCCAGGGCUCCCUCUUUCAUCCUGCUCUUCCAGCCCCAUGGAAGAGCCUGAGGAGAUCCCCCAGCUGAUGAGGUCCCAUCCCAAAGUGGCUUAGGGCAAAGGCUCAGGAUCUGGGCCAGGGAAGGGAGCCCAAGAGGCAGGAUCUGGGCCAGGGAAGGGGAGCCCAAGAGGCAGGAUCUGGGCCAGGGAAGGGGAGCCCAAGAGGCAGGAUCUGGGCCAGGGAAGGGGAGCCCAAGAGGCAGGAUCUGGGCCAGGGAAGGGGAGCCCAAGAGGCAGGAUCUGGGCCAGGAAAGGGGAGCCCAGAGGCAGGAUCUGGGCCAGAGAAGGGGAGCCCAAGAGGCAGGAUCUGGGCCAGGGAAGGGGAGCCCAAGAGGCAGGAUCUGGGCCAGGGCAGGGGAGCCCAGAGGCAAGAUCUGGGCCAGGGCAGGGGAGCCCAGAGACAGGAACUCUGCCCCAAGGCACAACCCAGAGCAGAUCCUGCAAGGAAUCAAAGCCUUGAGAUGUUUGGAAUGGUUUAAAAUACUUUAUUGCAACAUCAAGACAGUUCUCUGACUUCUCCCAGCAGCAGGGCUCCUGCAGGUGAACACCAAAACCACUUUACUCUUAAAUUAGAACUUCUUUAUAUAUAUAUUAAAGAAAAAAAAAGAUAAAAGAAAAAGGUUUGUUUUUUUCUCUCCCUCCCUGUGCAGACAGGUCCUGCAUGCCCCCAGCUCUCCUGCUAGCAGGAGCCAGUGGCAGAUGACUUCUUUUCUACAACCCAAGCUGGUGGAAGAAGAGCAGCCCCAUCUUUUUUUUUUUCCCCCCCACCUGAUAAAUGACUUUUUUGUUUCUAAUGGCACCCAAGAAGGCAGAUUUUUAACCUCCUUUUCUACGUUCCCCUCCUCCCCUCCCCACCAAAGGGAGGACAACAGCCACAGCUCCACCUGUCCAGAGGUCACCAAGCAGCACAAAUCUGCCUCCCAUCCCUGUAAAGGUCUCUCUCUCUGGCUUGGUUAAUCCAACUCUACUCAUGAAUGGAUUUUUCUCUUCCCAAAAGCAGCAUAAUUUUUUUAACACUUUUUUUUUAAUAUAUAUAUAUAAUAUAUUUAUAUAUAAAAACUAGCAGACAGGAUCAACAACAACCAUACCCCAAAAAAACCCAAACAAAAA